rnacentral:rRNA from 1 species
UACGGGGGGGGCAAGCGUUGUUCGGAAUUACUGGGCGUAAAGGGCUCGUAGGCGGCCAACUAAGUCAGACGUGAAAUCCCUCGGCUUAACCGGGGAACUGCGUCUGAUACUGGAUGGCUAGAGGUUGGGAGAGGGAUGCGGAAUUCCAAGUGUAGCGGUGAAAUGCGUAGAUAUCUGGAGGAACACCGGUGGCGAAGGCGGCAUCCUGGACCAAUGCUGACGCUGAGGAGCGAAAGCCAGGGGAGCAAACGGG